UACGGAGGGUGCGAGCGUUGUCCGGAAUCACUGGGCGUAAAGGGCGCGUAGGCGGCCUGAUAAGUAGGGGGUGAAAUCCUGCGGCUUAACCGCAGGGGCUGCCUUCUAAACUGUCAGGCUCGAGCACAGUAGAGGCAGGUGGAAUUCCCGGUGUAGCGGUGGAAUGCGUAGAGAUCGGGAAGAACAUCGGUGGUGAAGGCGGCCUGCUGGGCUGUUGCUGACGCUGAGGCGCGACAGCGUGGGGAGCAAACAGG
rnacentral:rRNA from 1 species